rnacentral:rRNA from 1 species
ACAUGCAAGUCGAACGAUGAACCACUUCGGUGGGGAUUAGUGGCGAACGGGUGAGUAACACGUGGGCAAUCUGCCCUGCACUCUGGGACAAGCCCUGGAAACGGGGUCUAAUACCGGAUACUGACCCUCGCAGGCAUCUGCGAGGUUCGAAAGCUCCGGCGGUGCAGGAUGAGCCCGCGGCCUAUCAGCUUGUUGGUGAGGUAAUGGCUCACCAAGGCGACGACGGGUAGCCGGCCUGAGAGGGCGACCGGCCACACUGGGACUGAGACACGGCCCAGACUCCUACGGGAGGCAGCAGUGGGGAAUAUUGCACAAUGGGCGAAAGCCUGAUGCAGCGACGCCGCGUGAGGGAUGACGGCCUUCGGGUUGUAAACCUCUUUCAGCAGGGAAGAAGCGAAAGUGACGGUACCUGCAGAAGAAGCGCCGGCUAACUACGUGCCAGCAGCCGCGGUAAUACGUAGGGCGCAAGCGUUGUCCGGAAUUAUUGGGCGUAAAGAGCUCGUAGGCGGCUUGUCGCGUCGGUUGUGAAAGCCCGGGGCUUAACCCCGGGUCUGCAGUCGAUACGGGCAGGCUAAAGUUCGGUAGGGGAGAUCGGAAUUCCUGGUGUAGCGGUGAAAUGCGCAUAUAUCAGGAGGAACACCGGUGGCGAAGGCGGAUCUCUGGGCCGAUACUGACGCUGAGGAGCGAAAGCGUGGGGAGCGAUCAGGAUUAGAUACCCUUGUAAUACCCCUGCCGUAACCGGGGGGAAAUAGGUGUGGGCAACAUUUCAACGUGUUCCGGGCCGCAGCUAACGCAUUUAAAUUGCCCCCGACUAGGGGAGUAACGGGGGGCAAGGGUAAAAAAUCAUAAGAAAUUAAACGGGGGUCCCGCAACAAAGCGGCCGGAAGCAUGUGGGCUUAAUUGGACUCAUACGAGAAGAACCUUAAGCAAGGUCUUGACAUACACCGGGUAAGCAUCAGAGAUGGUGCCCCCCUUGUGGUCGGUGUAACAGGUGGUGCAUGGCUGUCGUCAGCUCGUGUCGUGAGAUGUUGGGUUAAGUCCCGCAACGUGCGCAACCCUUGUCCCGUCUUGCCAGCAGGCCCUUGUGGUGUUGGGGACUCACGGGAGACCGACCGGGGUCUAAUCGGAGGAAGGUGGGGACGACGUCAAGUCAUCAUGCCCCUUAUGUAUUGGGCUGCACACGUGCUACAAUGGCCGGUACAAUGAGCUGCGAUACCGCAAGGUGGAGCGAAUGUCUAUAAGCCGGUCUCAGUUCGGACUGGGGUGUGCAACUCGACCCCAUGCAUUCGGAGUCGUUAGUUAUCGCAGAUCAGCAUUGAUGCGGUGAAUANGUUCCCGGGCGUUGUACACACCGCCCGUCACGUCACGCAAGGUCGGUGACAGCAGACAGCCGUUGGACCAAC